rnacentral:rRNA from 1 species
AGGCUUAACACAUGCAAGUCGAGGGGCAGCAAUUUGUAGCAAUACAAAGUUGGCGACCGGCGCACGGGUGAGUAACGCGUAUGCAACCUACCCACAACAGAAGAAUAAUCCGGCGAAAGUCGGUCUAAUACUUCAUAAAACAGGGACACCGCAUGGUGUUAUUUGUUAAAGAUUUAUCGGUUGUGGAUGGGCAUGCGUACCAUUAGGUAGUUGGUGAGGUAACGGCUCACCAAGCCUACGAUGGUUAGGGGUUCUGAGAGGAAAGUCCCCCACACUGGUACUGAGACACGGACCAGACUCCUACGGGAGGCAGCAGUGAGGAAUAUUGGUCAAUGGGCGAGAGCCUGAACCAGCCAAGUCGCGUGAAGGAUGACGGCCCUAUGGGUUGUAAACUUCUUUUGCAGGGGAAUAAAGAUAUUCACGUGUGGGUAGUUGUAUGUACCCUGCGAAUAAGCAUCGGCUAACUCCGUGCCAGCAGCCGCGGUAAUACGGAGGAUGCGAGCGUUAUCCGGAUUUAUUGGGUUUAAAGGGUGCGUAGGUGGGCUAUUAAGUCAGUGGUGAAAGUUUGUCGCUCAACGAUAAAAUUGCCGUUGAAACUGGUGGUCUUGAGUAUGGAUGAAGUAGGCGGAAUGCGUGGUGUAGCGGUGAAAUGCAUAGAGAUCACGCAGAACUCCGAUUGCGAAGGCAGCUUACUAAGGCAUAACUGACACUGAAGCACGAAAGCGUGGGUAUCAAACAGGAUUAGAUACCCUGGUAGUCCACGCAGUAAACGAUGAUUACUAGGAGUUUGCGAUAUAGUGUAAGCUCUACAGCGAAAGCGUUAAGUAAUCCACCUGGGGAGUACGCCGGCAACGGUGAAACUCAAAGGAAUUGACG